ensembl:miRNA
UUCUCCUCGCCCUCGGAGAACUUUGCCGACCUUGACUCAGCUCCCGAGGGUGGAGGAGAGGU